rnacentral:lncRNA from 1 species
AAGUUCUCACACAAAGGAAAUAUUUUAGAUUUUUCCUUGUGCUUUAACUCAGCGUUUUAUGUGAGAUCAACACAAUGUCGAAAUGGGAGAGGACAGGCCUGACUUUCACAGCAGCCUUUUCUUAAAGCGAGAACCCAUUGAUGCCCUUGAUUUGCUGUUUCAUUCAAACACUUGAGUGAAGCUCAAACGGCAAAUUAAGGGCUGCAGUCCAUUAUCAGUGUACCAUGAUGAUUGUUCCUGUCUCAUGAGAUCUCACCUAAAGAUAAAAGGUUUCGUUGUUGUUUUCAACCUUGUAUCUGUUUGACCAUUAGAUUCAAUUAAACACAUUGUUUCCAAAUAAACUAACACAUACGUUGGACGGAUCUGACUGCUGCUAUAAGGUUCAUCUUUGUGUCUGGAUUGUUAGGUUGCCAUCCACCGACAGGCCGGGGCAGAUGACAUGCAGGGAGGGAGAGUCGGAAGGAUCCAGAGAGUAUAAUACACAGUCUCAUGUACUGCCUAAAGCAAGACAUUUCCCUGGAGAGGGUAUUGUUGACAACAUGACAUAAAGUUAGAGAGAGGCAGAAAAAGAGACAAGGACAGAGGGAAGAGCGAGGAAGAUAAUCACCUGCUGUAGCCAUGAGAGGGACGGAGACGAGAGCGCGCGUGCGAUGCUCAGCUUGUUGAGCAUCACUCAAAGACGUCGUCUUCACACAAGUGCAAAAUCACCAGCGUCAGCUGCGUAAGUGUCCACGCGUGGUUAUUGGUAAAGAAGCCCUCGGUGAAAAAUUCCAGGUCGUCACAAAAUGAUCAAGUUGCUGUAAGCAGCGUUCACCGCUCAACGUGUUUCAGCCGUAGCGUGUCAGCCCACCUCCUUACCUGUCAUCCACCUUUAUGAGGAAUUCAAUAAUCCUUCAUGGCCAGGCUGACCUCCUCAAUGUGUCAUUACAGGCUUUGAGGGAGCACCGGGAUCUGGGGAAUGCGAGCGUCCGCCUCGCUUUUCUUGGCACGUCGCGAGUGACACUGACUGACGGACGGCGCCUCUGGGAGACGACCAGAGGGUGUGAACCGGAGGAGCUGGUGAUCGUAUGUCAGUAAAACGCCUGUCUCUGAAGACGCAGACAUGAAGACGAACAUGAGAAUCCAGAGGUAAUAACACACACACGCACAGUGGUCACCCAUCUGGUACAGGUGCAUUCACCUGUAAAACCCGUUAAAUAGAGAGACUUGAACGUAGCUCGUUCGACUGAAUCCCCUUCAAUCUUCAACUACCACAGGGUUCGGCUGCGGAGUCGACUGUACUGCCUUUGUAAUUAAAGCUUCCCCUUUAAUUGUACAUCAAUACACUGCGACCAGUGCAGGAUUAAGGAGAGCGGGAUUAAGGGCUGGGCAGAAGAGCACAACAACAGGACGUUACUGCUGCUGAGAUGCUCCUGCAGCCUUUUCCCCUCGUCCUCCUCCUCCCGCUUGCAUCAUGGUACUAGAUAACACGGCUGCACAAAUUAAAACACUAUAAUCUUAUUGCAGAAGCCGUGUUUAUGGGCAGCCUUUGAUGUGCGCCGCGUUGCCUUUAUUCCACAUUCUCCAUGUGUUUAAUAUGAAGGCUUUAGCGAUGUAGAAUCUAAUGAGAGGUAAUUGCCAGCACUAACUACGCCUCCAUCGAAAGCCUUUAUUGUUCUUUAUUGGACACCAUUUACACCCUGGUAGCUCACUGUGCUAAAUUAGGCUUGAUGCAAAUCUUUGUUAAUGAGUGAUAAGUAAGCGUUGUAUGUUUAGACUUGUUUCAAUACAGCUAUUAAACACAAUGGCCACUGGUGUAGCGUGGAGGCGGCCGCCAUCCCUAACGCGCGGAUGUCUGAUUACGUCGUUUUAAUCUGUGUCUAGUUUAAUAGAGUGGCGGCUUCACCAGCUGUCCUACAUUUUUUUUUUUCUGCUUUCACAACUUGCCCUCCUCCUUCUCGUAAAAAGAGGGCACAUUUUCCCAAGAUGCACCGCGGCCUGGCCCCUGCAUGACCCCGGUCUGCCAUGAUGCUGACGUUGGGCCGCGGGCGGGGUCACACGUCGGCUGCCGUCGUCCAAUCAGAGCCCCCCUCGGUAACCGUCUCGUCGCCAACGGCGCCGAGACCGAGCUCCGGUGACGCAACCGGCGUUGCGUUGCAGGCGACAGUGGAAGCCACCAGAAAUCCUGCAGCCAGGCUCCUCAUUUGUGAGAUCUGACAGCGUCCCACGUGAUUUUGCCCAACAGAAGCCCCUCGGCUUUCCCGCUGCGUUUCCUUUACGCUCAAGCGCCGCUUCUUUCUUUUACUCCUCACCUUUGUUUCGUGACAAGCGCACAUCUCGUACUGUUCACAGGUCACUGGAAGUGCAGCGAGGUGAAGCCAAGUUCGUAAUGAGUUGACGCUUGGUUCCACAUAAAAACACCUCACUGGCCUUCAAACCCGUGCAGCUGCGAAGCCCACAGGAAUGUUAGCACAUUAUCCGACACCCCCUAUUGCCUCAUCUUUGUUUGCCUGCCACCCGACAUUAGACUGCUUCACUUUGGCCUUGUUAAAGUGCUCAGUGGGGUCAAGGGCUAAGACUGGACACCUGACAGCAGACAAAAAUGUGUGUGAACAAGAAAUUAAUUUGGCCUCUUAAUCUCAACAAUUUUCAUCCUACAUGAACUGAAGUUACUUCUGUCUAUAUAUCAACUCAUUUUUCCUUCUAACAUUUGUAUUUCUGCUUCGUUCUGACACUUGUUUGUGUCUCUUUUGUCUGCACUGGUGAUUAUCUUUGUCUCAGCUGAUGCUGUGUGUUUAGUUAGAUUCUAAUAAGAACCACUUGCAAUCUAAACACCAAAUAACAACCUUUCUGUAUUGUUAUAGGGCUUUAUAUUAUAUGAGACCUAACGAGGCUGAUCGUAUUAUAUAAAUUUUAAUACAAUUGAAUUUAGAAACAUUACAACAUAAAAAAAUGACAUUUAAAUAUUAUUUAAAUAAUAUAUUACUAAAUUGAUUACAUUUUUCUACAUUUGCAUCCAGUUCAGCAUUUUAAGGGCUUUUUAUGUUUUUAAAUAAGUGCCAUAAAUAAUAAAUGAAAAUAAAGCUUUUUCA